CUCAAGCCCUUUACCAGACUCUAUACGUCGCCAGCUUCAUCGACAACUACCGACAGGAGCUCACUAGAUACCCUGCUUUGACUACAGGUACACAACAAGUACAACCAAUAUACAAUAUUACUAGGAUUCAUGCUUGAGGAAAUACUUUUUGAACACAUAUCUUUGGCUAUAGCAAGUGCAUAGCAAUAUACAACACUGUUCCUCCACCAAUAGUUCUGAUUCUAUCUGGCCACAGCUAUAAUGACUGGUUUCUUAGUUUUGAUUGAUGCUUGUGCUAUCCAUUUAGCAUUAUAUUACAAAAUAAUGCUAAAUUUAGUUCCAUUAAUAUUUACAAAACACAUGCGCAAGCUAUUCUAUACAAAACAGAUUUACUCCAAUAUAUUCACUAAUAUUUCUUGCAUUUG